ACUAAAUAGAUACCCAGGUAGUCCACGCUGUAAACGAUGAGUGCUAGAUGCCGGAUUUUUCGGUGUCGCAGCUAAACGCAUUAAGCACUCCACCUGGGAAGUACGAUCGCAAGGUUGAAACUCAAAGGAAUUGACGGGGGCCCGCACAAGCAGUGGAGCAUGUGGUUUAAUUCGAUGCAACGCGAAGAACCUUACCUAGGCUUGAAAAGCUUAUGACCGGCUGUGAAAGCAGCUUUCCCGCAAGGGCAUAAGUACAGGUGCUGCAUGGCUGUCGUCAGCUCGUGCCGUGAGGUGUUGGGUUAAGUCCCGCAACGAGCGCAACCCUUACCAUUAGUUGCCACCGGAGCAAUCCGAGCACUCUAAUGGAACUGCCUACGCAAGUAGUGAGGAAGGUGAGGAUGACGUCAAGUCCGCAUGGCCCUUACGCCUAGGGCUACACACGUGCUACAAUGGCCGCCACAACGGGCAGCAAAAUCGCGAGAUGGAGCGAAUCCCUAAAAAGCGGCCUCAGUUCGGAUU
rnacentral:rRNA from 1 species